rnacentral:rRNA from 1 species
GACGAACGCUGGAGGCGUGCUUAACACAUGCAAGUCGAACGAUGAAAUGGAGCUUGUUCCAUGGAUUAGUGGCGAACGGGUGAGUAACACGUGAAUAACCUGCCCUUAAUUUUGGAAUAACCCAGGGAAACCUGGGCUAAUACCGGAUAAGUAAACCUGUGGCAUCACAUGGUUUUGGAAAGUUUUUCGAUUAAGGAUGGAUUCGCGGCCUAUUAGCUUGUUGGUGAGGUAAUGGCUCACCAAGGCGACGACGGGUAGCCGGCCUGAGAGGGUGAACGGCCACACUGGGACUGAGACACGGCCCAGACUCCUACGGGAGGCAGCAGUGGGGAAUAUUGCGCAAUGGACGAAAGUCUGACGCAGCGACGCCUCAUGAGGGACGAAGGUCUUCGGAUUGUAAACCUCUUUCAGCAGGGACGAAGCGAAAGUGACGGUACCUGCAGAAGAAGCACCGGCUAACUAUGUGCCAGCAGCCGCCGUAA